AUCAUUCCUGAUGCCUCUGGGGCAGCACAUGGCAUCUGGAAGUUGACAUUUUACACCCCAGAACCAGUGUCAAUGGUGCUGAGGGAGGCUGAACAAGCCGGUUAUGGUGCCAUGGUGACCUCAACCCGUCUGGUUAUGCGAUCCCCCUACAAUACAGCAGAGACGACUUCGGAAGAGGUGGAUGGAGUCUCCAUGGAAGUGUUCAGGGUGAGAGCCUACUACAAGGCACCACAUGGUCUGGGUGUGGUGGACUUGGCAG